UUUUAAAAGCUUGCUUUUAAAAGGUUAGCGGCGGACGGGUGAGUAACACGUGGGCAACCUGCCUGUAAGAUCGGGAUAACGCCGGGAAACCGGGGCUAAUACCGGAUAGUUUUUUCCUCCGCAUGGAGGAAAAAGGAAAGACGGCUUUUGCUGUCACUUACAGAUGGGCCCGCGGCGCAUUAGCUAGUUGGUGGGGUAACGGCUCACCAAGGCAACGAUGCGUAGCCCGACCUGAGAGGGUGAUCGGCCACAUUGGGACUGAGACACGGCCCAAACUCCUACGGGAGGCAGCAGUAGGGAAUCUUCCGCAAUGGACGAAAGUCUGACGGAGCAACGCCGCGUGAGUGAAGAAGGCCUUCGGGUCGUAAAACUCUGUUGCCGGGGAAGAACAAGUGCCGUUCGAACAGGGCGGCGCCUUGACGGUACCCGGCCAGAAAGCCACGGCUAACUACGUGCCAGCAGCCGCGGUAAUACGUAGGUGGCAAGCGUUGUCCGGAAUUAUUGGGGCGUAAAGCGCGCGCAGGCGGCUUCUUAAGUCUGAUGUGAAAUCUUGCGGCUCAACCGCAAGCGGUCAUUGGAAACUGGGGAGGCUUGAGUGCAGAAGAGGAGAGUGGAAUUCCACGUGUAGCGGUGAAAUGCGUAGAGAUGGGGGAGGAAACACCAGUGGGCGAAGGCGGCUCUCUGGUCUGUAACUGACGCUGAGGCGCGAAAGCGUGGGGAGCAAACAGGAUUAGAUACCCUGGUAGUCCACGCCGUAACGAUGAGUGCUAAGUGUUAGAGGGUUUCCGCCCUUUAGUGCUGCAGC
rnacentral:rRNA from 2 species